CGUUAAUGAGGUCGAACUGCUGCUGCCACUCACACUCAACUACAAGGCGACUGUGUGGCAGUUUUUCCUCCCCCCGAUGCUUCACUCUGCCCUGCGAUCCCAGGCUCCUCGCACCAUCCGUCACCUCCUGCUAGUCCUCUCCGUCUUUUCCGCUCAGCUGGCACGAACACCAGACACUGCACAGAGGCCUCAGCACAAGCGUCCCGUCUUGGCAACCCCAGCCCCUUCGACAAGAAUGCAUCUAUUCUGCGGCUCCACUCUGCGUGGAGUGGAUGAGUAAGAGCGGCCUGUAGAAACAGCUGUUCAGGGAGUGAUCAAAAGAAAGGGAGAGACUUCUUUGAUUACCAGCUCUUUGUUCACCCUCCACUCAAACUUUCGUGUUCAGGAAGGCCUCUCUCUGAGUGGGCUGCUGGCCAAGGGAAUGCACGGGGUAGUAAUGAUAUGCUUAUUGGAGCGAGACUACACUUGCAUCUAUGUCUAUCUUUAAGCCAUUUAAUCAAUUUGAACUAUAACAUCUGCAAACGUCUCAGUGCUCAUGAUACCCUGAUAUCCCAGCAUUCAUCUUGACCCCCUCACCUCUUUGUAACCGUCUCUUUGGGUGCUUAUCACCGCAGAAUGAAUGCGUAGCCUUGGUUACGGCCAGACUCUCCUUGAGUUUGCCGGGGUUGAGAUGCCCUCUCCCAGGAUUCUGGCAGGAAGCUCCACCCUGAUCCAAGCAUGUUUGUUUUGGCUCAGGCAAAAAAAAAAAAAAGAAAGGGAAAAAAAAACAAAACGCACGGAGUGAGAUGAAACAGCUCAGCUAUCUGCUGAUUAUCUCUACCAAAUCUGCAGCCUGGAGGACACCAGUUUUCAUCUUGGCACCAGCAAAUGCAUUUCUUUUUUUUUUUGUUGAUGGCUGCAGCAAUUUAGCCUCAUACGAGUCCUUUUCACAGUGUUCAAGGUCAAGAGCAGUGCACUUUUUGUUUAGGUGUUUAUCAUAAACCAAACUCAAA